rnacentral:rRNA from 1 species
GAUGAACGCUGGCGGCGUGCCUAAUACAUGCAAGUCGAGCGAACAGACGAGGAGCUUGCUCCUCUGACGUUAGCGGCGGACGUGUGAGUAACACGUGUAUAACCUACCUAUAAUACUGGGAUAACUUCGGGAAACCGGAUCUAAUACCGGAUAAUAUAUUGAACCGCAUGGUUCAAUAGUGAAAUACGGUUUUGCUGUCACUUAUCGAUGGAUCCGCGCCGCAUUAGCUAGUUGGUAAGGUAACGGCUUACCAAGGCAACGAUGCGUAGCCGACCUGAGAGGGGGAUAGGCCACCCUGGAACUGAGACGCGGUCCAGGCUACUAAGGGAGGCACCAGUCGGGAAUCGUACGCAAUGGGGGAAAACAUGGCGGAGGAACGCGGAGUGAGUGGCGGAGGUCCUCGGAUCGGAAAAACCUGUUAUUAGGGAAGAACAAAUGUGUAAGUAACUAUGCACGUCUUGACGGUAACUAAUAAGAAAGCAACGGCUAACUACGUG